UUUCGUCUUUGUUCUGUUCUUCAACGACGCCAAUCUGUCUUUGCUUCACCGCCAUUCUUUUUCAAUUGUGUCAGCAGUUAUUCAAAGAAAUUCAUGAGGUGAUGCAGCGAAAUUUUUGUAAGUGAAAACUGAAAUUAACUUACUCUUUCAUCUUGGAUCUCAUCCCGAUAACUUAUCAGGUUAGCCAUUCUUGCUAAUUGUUUUCUCGUUUGUGGACUUACCUUCAUCAUCUUGGUUUGGUCUCAUCCCAUCACAGUUCAUAGGUCACAGUUCAUCGGUCACAGUCAUCAGUCAAUCCGAUCACUUAUCAGGUUAGCCAUUCUUGCUAAUUGUUUUCUCUUUUGUGGACUUACCUUCAUCAUCUUGGUUUUGUCUCAUCCCAUCACAGUUCAUAGGUCACAGUUCAUCGGUCACAGUCAUCAGUCAAUCCGAUCACUUAUCAGAGAAGCUUACAACACUCGAGGAAUUGUAAAACUUAAUCAUGGAGUAAAGGAUAACAAGAUGUUAUGUAAGAAAAUUUUUGAUAAAAUCAACGAACUUGAGAAAAAGCUGAAAACAUCCCAAACCACAACAAACGAAAGCGAUGAGGAGGACGAUGACUUCCCAAUUUGAAACAUGGAUGAUUUCGAUUCAGUUAACUUGAAACUUCAAAACAAAACAACUCGUAAACAACUG